UGGCGAACGGGUGAGUAACACGUGGGCAACCUGCCCAAAAGAGGGGGAUAACACUUGGAAACAGGUGCUAAUACCGCAUAACCAUAGUUACCGCAUGGUAACUAUGUAAAAGGUGGCUAUGCUACCGCUUUUGGAUGGGCCCGCGGCGCAUUAGCUAGUUGGUGGGGUAAGGCUUACCAAGGCAAUGAUGCGUAGCCGAACUGAGAGGUUGAUCGGCCACAUUGGGACUGAGACACGGCCCAAACUCCUACGGGAGGCAGCAG
rnacentral:rRNA from 1 species